GGUUGUUUGAACCGCAUGGUUCAAACAUAAAAGGUGGCUUCGGCUACCACUUACAGAUGGACCCGCGGCGCAUUAGCUAGUUGGUGAGGUAACGGCUCACCAAGGCAACGAUGCGUAGCCGACCUGAGAGGGUGAUCGGCCACACUGGGACUGAGACACGGCGGAGACUCCUACGGGAGGCAGCAGUAGGGAAUCUUCCGCAAUGGACGAAAGUCUGACGGAGCAACGCCGCGUGAGUGAUGAAGGUAUUCGGAUCGUAAAGCUCUGUUGUUAGGGAAGAACAAGUACCGUUCGAAUAGGGCGGUACCUUGACGGUACCUAACCAGAAAGCCACGGCUAACUACGUGCCAGCAGCCGCGGUAAUACGUAGGUGGCAAGCGUUGUCGGGAAUUAUUGGGCGUAAAGGGCUCGCAGGCGGUUUCUUAAGUCUGAUGUGAAAGCCCCCGGCUCAACCGGGGAGGGUCAUUGGAAACUGGGGAACUUGAGUGCAGAAGAGGAGAGUGGAAUUCCACGUGUAGCGGUGAAAUGCGUAGAGAUGUGGAGGAACACCAGUGGCGAAGGCGACUCUCUGGUCUGUAACUGACGCUGAGGAGCGAAAGCGUGGGGAGCGAACAGGAUUAGAUACCCUGGUAGUCCACGCCCGUAAACGAUGAGUGCUAUGUGUUAGGGGGUUUCCGCCCCUUAGUGCUGCAGCUAACGCAUUAAGCACUCCGCCUGGGGAGUACGGUCGCAAGACUGAAACUCAAAGGAAUUGACGGGGGCCCGCACAAGCGGUGGAGCAUGUGGUUUAAUUCGAAGCAACGCGAAGAACCUUACCAGGUCUUGACAUCCUCUGACAAUCCUAGAGAUAGGACGUCCCCUACGGGGGCAGUGUGACAGGUGGUGCAUGGUUGUCGUCAGCUCGUGUCGUGAGAUGUUGGGUUAAGUCCCGCAACGAGCGCAACCCUUGAUUUUAGUUGCCAGCAUUCAGUUGGGCACUCUAAGGUGACUGCCGGUGACAAACCGGAGGAAGGUGGGGAUGACGUCAAAUCAUCAUGCCCCUUAUGACCUGGGCUACACACGUGCUACAAUGGACAGAACAAAGGGCAGCGAAACCGCGAGGUUAAGCCAAUCCCACAAAUCUGUUUUCAGUUCGGAUCGCAGUUUGCAACUCGACUGCGUGAAGCUGGAAUCGCUAGUAAUCGCGGAUC
rnacentral:rRNA from 1 species